rnacentral:tRNA from 1 species
GCCCGGAUGGCGGAAUCGGUAGACGCACGGGAUUCAAAAUCCCGCGCCGCAAGGCGUGCCGGUUCGAGUCCGGCUCCGGGCACCA